AGCCUGAUCAGCCAUGCCGCGUGUGUGAAGAAGGCCUUCGGGUUGUAAAGCACUUUCAGUGAGGAAGAAAGCCUUGAGGUUAAUACCCUCGAGGGAGGACAUCACUCACAGAAGAAGCACCGGCUAACUCCGUGCCAGCAGCCGCGGUAAUACGGAGGGUGCGAGCGUUAAUCGGAAUUACUGGGCGUAAAGCGCGCGUAGGCGGCUUGAUAAGCCGGUUGUGAAAGCCCCGGGCUCAACCUGGGAACGGCAUCCGGAACUGUCAGGCUAGAGUGCAGGAGAGGAAGGUAGAAUUCCCGGUGUAGCGGUGAAAUGCGUAGAGAUCGGGAGGAAUACCAGUGGCGAAGGCGGCCUUCUGGACUGACACUGACGCUGAGGUGCGAAAGCGUGGGUAGCAAACAGGAUUAGAUACCCUGGUAGUCCACGCCGUAAACGAUGUCGACUAGCCGUUGGGCUCCUUGAGAGCUUUGUGGCGCAGUUAACGCGAUAAGUCGACCGCCUGGGGAGUACGGCCGCAAGGUUAAAACUCAAAUGAAUUGACGGGGGCCCGCACAAGCGGUGGAGCAUGUGGUUUAAUUCGAUGCAACGCGAAGAACCUUACCUACCCUUGACAUCGAGAGAACUUUCCAGAGAUGGAUUGGUGCCUUCGGGAGCUCUCAGACAGGUGCUGCAUGGCUGUCGUCAGCUCGUGUUGUGAAAUGUUGGGUUAAGUCCCGUAACGAGCGCAACCCUUGUCCCUAUUUGCCAGCGAUUCGGUCGGGAACUCUAGGGAGACUGCCGGUGACAAACCGGAGGAAGGUGGGGACGACGUCAAGUCAUCAUGGCCCUUACGGGUAGGGCUACACACGUGCUACAAUGGCCGGUACAAUGGGUUGCGAAUCCGCGAGGUGGAGCUAAUCCCAUAAAGCCGGUCUCAGUCCGGAUCGGAGUCUGCAACUCGACUCCGUGAAGUCGGAAUCGCUAGUAAUCGU
rnacentral:rRNA from 1 species